UCAGUCGGCCGGGCGGCCGCGCCGGCGGGAACCGAAAGGUUGCUGGUGAGGAAAGUCCGGGCUCCAGGGAAAUACGGUGCCGGCUAACAGCCGGCGGGGGCGACCCCAGGGAAAGUGCCACAGAAAGCAAACCGCCUUCCGCUCGUCGGAAGGUAAGGGUGAAAGGGUGGGGUAAGAGCCCACCGCGCGACCGGCAACGGAAGCGGCAAGGUAAACCCCACCGGGAGCAAAACCGAAUAGGAACAACACGAGGGGCAACCCUCAGGGCAGUUCCCGCCCCGUUGUUCGGGUUGGUUGCGUGAGGCGUACGGCAACGUCCGCCCAAGAUGAAUGGCCGCCACGUUCCUGUUCCGCAAGGGCAGGGGCCAUACAGAACCCGGCUUACAGGCCGGCUGGCUUU
rnacentral:RNase_P_RNA from 2 species